GCUUCGCAAGGGCUUCUCCAACAUCGGCAACUACUCACCCGAGCACAAACGCGACGAACACGAAAUUCGCUGAGGCGGAUUGACCCCGGGUCCGCCGAGAUCCGAAAAUCGGUGAUGGCAAGGGCUAGGGUGGCUCCAUGAGCGCGUAGAUUGGAAAGGAGGGUCGAGAAGGAGAUCACGAGGCUUAAAAAGGCUCGGCUUUGGCGGAUUUGGCAGAAAAUCCCGUGCGAAUCGGGAUUUAGCUCCCGAUCGGGAGUCCUGCACGGCUCCGACUAAAGGUUGAAGAAGACCGGCUGACAGGUGGGGUCACAGUGUCAGAGAGAAUAAAGAAUAGGGCCCAGUUGACAGAGGGGAGGUGCGGCUUGGAUGGCCGAGUGGGCCGCUGCGAUGCAAUGGGCCGGGGUGCGAUCGGAGCUGGGCGUUGGGCCUCGCGAAGAAAGGAAAAAGGGGGAGGGAAGCUGGGCCGCGCGCGCUGGUUAGGGAGUAGGCCGGAAGGGGGAGGAAAGGAGGAGUGGGCCUUCGGGCCAGAAUCAGGUGGGGAGAGUUUUGGUUUGUUUUUUUUUUUUCCUUUUUCUUUUAUUCCAAAGCCAUUUGAAACUCUAUUUGAAUUUUGAGUUCAAAAACACUCAGCACAGUAAACAAAAUGCAGAAGCAUGAGUGCACAAAAUUGUCGCUACACUCUAUGAUAGAUUUUAUUUUGAUAAAAAUAUUAUUUCUCUAUUUUUCAUGAACACAAAAAUACAAAACUAAAUCAUUUUCCACCUAUUUCAAAAGUUUUAAAAUUUUGGGUGUUACAAAUCUACCCCCCUUAAAAUGAAUCUCGUCCUCGAGAUUCGAAAGAGGCACGGGUUCCAAAAAGAGAGAUAGGAAAAAGAUCUUGAUCAUUAUUUCAACUUGACAACUUGUAUUCCAAAUGCAAGCACUUAUGUUUCGAGAUUACAACUUGUGAACAAAACUUCCAUAAGAUGUCUAUUAUUCGUAAUUGCUCACUGUCCAUCUUGACUACCAACUUUUUGACUUAUACAACUCAAAGGCAUGAUAACUUAGCAUGGGUAUGCCUCCUCAGGUAGGAGUGGACCACCUUGAUACUCAAUUCUUUUCCCUGAUGGUGCGGUUAAGAAAAUUUUCCACUGGGUAGCAUAGAUCACUGCCUUGUGUGCACAUAACCAUCCAUUGCCAAGAACCAAAGGAAUAUUGAGUGACUCUAGCACAAUGAGGUUUACAGUGAAGUUUUCCUUCUUUAUGACAAGAUUGAUAUUUGAGCAAACCUGAUCUGCCUGUAUUUCUUCCAUUGGGGUUUGAACUAACAAAGGCUUUCUUGUCGGACACUUCACCCGUUCGAUUGUCUUUACCAAGUCAGCGGAAAUAAAAGAAUGCGAAGCACUUCGGUCAAACAGAGCAAAAACUAGUACUGAGUCCACUUGAAUAUAGCCUCCCACCACUUUGGUGGCUCCUUGAAUGUUAUGCCUAUCCACAUUGUUCAGUCUUCCAUUGAUAUAAUUUGGCUGUACUUUAUUUCCAGGAGCGGGCUUCUUACGAGCUUUCCUUUUACGCUUCCGUCGUUGUGGAUUUUGAUUUGAUUCGUUGUCAACUUGCUCUUCCCUAUUAUUAUUUUGAUAACACUCAGCUUUGUCAUACUCAUAGCAUCUUUCUUCAAAAUCAAGAUGAUCAUAUUCUUCCCACCUAUCCAUGAGAGGUGUCAUAUUGUGCUCCGGAUUCAUGGGACACUACACUCCCUGUCAUCAAGUGACCAACGUCAGUAACACGGCAAGGAUAGAUGAUCAUAACCAUAGAAUAUCUUAGAAGACAAUUAUCACUCCAAGCUAGUCUUAAAAUGCAUCACUCGUGAUAUCAAGGUACUACCCCUCUUAAAAUGAGAUUGAUUGGGGAACACUAGGGACUACUUCUCCUAUCCUUUUUAGACGCUACACAUCAUAUAGUCUUUUAAAAUUCGCUGUACUGAGUCUCUUGUUCCAACAUUAUCCAAUUCUUCUCCAUGUAACCCCUUUAUUUAGGCUACCCCCCUUAAUAAAGGUCAUCUAGGGGACACAAGAAAGGUAGCUAGCAUGUUUUCCAGACAAGUUAACUAACAUUGAGAACUUAUGACAUCCCAAAGAGCUUCUGUGCAAGAGAACAAACAUGUAUCCUGAAAUUUUUCCGCGAUAUGAAAAACACCAGCAUAGAAAAACAGGUAUAACUCCCAUUCAGUUAAUCCAAUAGAGUUGUAGCUUAUACCGUUAGAAAGAUUAUGAAAUUCCCUACAACUUUCCUGUAGAAGACGUCCUUAGGUUCUGUCUUUAAGCUCAGGUAAAACAGCCAAACAUAAUAUCCUUCCUGAUAAUAUCUCAGCAAAGAUGCAGUAAAUUCCAGAAAUUAUACCUCGAGCUACGUAACUCAUAUGGAGAUGAUCUUUAUAUUGUUGAAAAGCUUAUGAAAUCCUUUACAACUUUUGUAUACAACUUUUCCCCAGAUUCUGUCUUUAAGCUUGGCUGAGAAUAGGAAUUGCCAGAUCUAUCCAGAUUUUGAAACAGAACAGAAACAUCCAAUUGUAAAUAUCAUAUCUCAGGUUCUACUUAUCCAAAUAAGUUCCAGCUUAUACCGUUGGAAAGAAUAGAAAAUUGUCUACAACUUUUCUAUAGAAUACUCUUCCAAAUUCUAUAGUUAUAUAUGUCUAAAACAGUAAGCAACCGAAACUGGUCCAGGUUCUUGACAGCACAGUUGUAUCAUGUUGUGAUUUUUGUAACUUCCAAACCAUAACAGCCAUGAGGGUGAUUCUUGUGGUCAGAGAAAGAUCUUGGAGUCUAGUUGUUUCCAGAAAAAUUUAGUAAACUUUGCACGACCAGAUCUUGAUAUACACUAUGAUUAUUGCAGACUGCUCCAGAAAUCAGCAAAAGACAGAAACAGGAUAUAACCAAACCCAACUACUUAUGUCAUUACUCCGUAUGCCUUAGUUCUAUAAACUAAAUGAAAUUGUGAAGAACUUCACAAAAUCAUUACACUCAUUACAAAGAUCCAAAUCAAACAUAAACAUAAUAACAAGCAAUUAAGCAUUAAAGGUUCACAAGGCACACAAACUCAACUUUCGCUACUAGCGUUUUUAUUACACCAGGGGACACGGACACCUAUAUCUUAGACUUAGUGUGGUUAUCUUCACGAUGCAUCUGUUGCUUCUUUUGUGGACAAGAGCUUAUAUAAUGUCCUUCUUGUUGGCAGUGAUAACACCUUCUCUUAGCUGGUUCCUCUGUGAUGUUAUUUUCCACUGAAGUGUUGUUCGGUGUGUUAUCAACUUGCAUACUCUGAUGGUUUAUCUUUGCCUGGUUAGAUUUCUUUCUACAUUGCUUGAUCCUCCGAGGUUGAAACUCUCUAUAAGUAAUUGUCCACCCAUCUAUGCAUACCUCAUGAGCAGUGGGAUUAGCUUGGGGAAUUUGUUCAUCUCCAAGGUUUGAGUUUUCCUGACGAGAAUUUGAAGCUACAUGUGACAUCUUGGGAUUUGGGUGUUGAUCACUUCCCAAUCUCGGCUCUAGUGCUUUUGCCUUCCUCUUCUUAUCCUCAUUAGUCACACAGGUUGGUUUUGUCUUAACUUCCUUCUUAGAUGACAUAUUCCGAAGACAAGGAAGACCAUAAUGCUCACAACAGUGGCAUUGAUUCUGAUAUCCUGAUGUAUUACUCCCAACGCUUCCAUGAUUUCUCAUAUUUUUCCAAGCUUCUGCUACUUGUCUCCUCACGGGUCCUGAGAUACGUUGUUGAGAGUUCUUAUUCUGAGUUAUUCCUUCCACUACUUGUGUUUGCAUGGCUAGAAGCUUCUCCAUGUCGAAUGCUUUUACGGUUGGAAAAUCUGGUUGCUUUCGUUCCUUCUUGUCAAAGGUCUCCUCGUUAUGAUCCAUCUAAAGAGACAAAGAGAGAGGAUUUAGAAUAGAGACAAGAUUUUAUAAAAGAACUAGGCAAGAGGUAAGCAUAACUUUUAGCAACUAUCAAGGUCAAGGCGAAAAGCAAGAAGUAAGCAAAGAUGGAAGCAUGCCAAAACGUCCAGUUCUAACUAGGCUUGCGUCCUACAGUCAGCAUUGCUUUGAUACCACUUUGUAAUACCCGAUUUUAAGGACAAAACCAGAUAUACACUAUAUAUGAGUUUUAGAAGUCAAUUCUCAUAUAUAGCUACAAAUAAGGGGUAAUAUCAAAAGACAAUGCAUAAAUAUAUAACGUACUUAGUAUAAAAGAGAUAACCUUUGAUAACAAACAGCGGAUAGACAACUCCAAACUUCGGGUAUUAACUUCUCUCUACAGGAUCCAACUGACUGGUUGAUCACAAGCCUAAACUUCUCCUGAGGUUUGGGGAAAUAGCAAGAGUGAGUCCAUGUCGAACUCCACAAGUAUAGCAACUAGAUUGUAUAGCUCCCACAAGCUUAUGAUCAAUGUGACAUAAAUUAUGUAAAGCAUUAAACAAUAAAUAAUGAGCAUAUUUAACACAUAGGAAUCAUUAUCGUCGCAGCAAGAAUCCCCAAGGCCGCUCCUGACCGUGAGCUCGGCUAGUAUACUAGUUUUUAACCCUCUGCAGAGGUUGCACAUCUUUACCCAUGAGUCAUGAUUUACCCUUUCGCCCGAGGUAGCUAAUCUCUUAACCCCCUUCCUAGGGAGGUCGGCAGGGAUCACUAUGAAGUCUUUCAAAGGUUCGUCUAACAAGUUAGGGCCGCUUGGUUUCAUUAGUCAGUCCGUGUGAUUCACCCGCAGGAAUCCACGGUCUGCUAUUCCCCAAUUGCGCCACAACGGGUAACCGCUAACGAGCUAGAAAAGUUACUCAUACUUAACUAAAGCCAGAGCCAUUAUAGCCCUCAUGGUUGCACUGUUGUCCCGGUUAUCACUUACAGAUAAAUCAUCAAGUUGCUAAAAAGUCAUUUUUAUCGUUUAUUACUUAACAUUAAUCUAGCCACAGGAUCAUGGUCACAGAAAUAAAACCUAAAUGCUAUACUUGCCUUAAUCCAAAUGCUCUUGCUUAUCCUUUUGGUUCUGCUGGUCUCACUUGUUGCCAAAGCUUUGAUCUUGAUCACCGAAACUGCUCUCCGUCUAAACUCGAUCAUCGAUCACACAAACAAUCGGAGAAAACAUACACGAAGCAAACAAGGCUAUAAUUAGAACAGUACACCAAGCAUAUAAAAACAGUAUGAAAAGUUUAUAAAAUAAUUCUACGCAUCGCUAUGAUCUCACAAACGUAAAGAUCACGAAAAUCGGAGCUAAAACGGAGGAGAUAUGAUUUUUCUAAGAUUUUAUAUAGAAAAGUAAUUAAUUAAUUAAAGUCACAAAAUUGCAAAGUUUCAAACUGGUGAAUUAAGUUUACUAACAUGUAGAGCUCAUUAUUACUAAUCCAACGCAAUUUGAAUGGUCAAAAACGGAGUUAAAACAAAUAUUUUAUGAGCGAAAUACUGUGAAUGGCAAACUUGUAAUUAUCUAAAAGCGUAUUUUUUUCUUAAGCCGGCAGAGAAUACGUUUUCCAAAUUUGGAAAGCGUAAACCUGCUCGGGCGCCAGGGACUGCGGGUUUAUUUCUAAAUAACUCCGGGGACUCUUUAGCAAAAGUGGCGGCCGAAACGGUAACUUCUGUUCUCGGACGCAGGAUCACGAUCCGACGGUGGGGAUUCAAUCUGGGCGCUGAACUGGCCGACGGUGGCCGGAACAGUGGCACCCGCGGCGACGCCAUGGCCAGGACAUUGCCGGAGCUCGGGAAAUCACGCUACGGUGCGUCAAACUCAAAACCGCGACCAUGGAAACGGAAAGGAGAUCGAUGCGAGCUCACCUAGGGCGAAACCGAGCGUAGGAAGGACGCGGACACGGCUGACGUCGAAGAAUGGCGGCCGGACCCCCUUCCUGCAAGUUCGACGCCGGUUAGGGAGUCGCUGGAAACACUAGAAGCUUUAGGGAACGGACCUGCGGCUUCGCAAGGGCUUCUCCAACAUCGGCAACUACUCACCCGAGCACAAACGCGACGAACACGAAAUUCGCUGAGGCGGAUUGACCCCGGGUCCGCCGAGAUCCGAAAAUCGGUGAUGGCAAGGGCUAGGGUGGCUCCAUGAGCGCGUAGAUUGGAAAGGAGGGUCGAGAAGGAGAUCACGAGGCUUAAAAAGGCUCGGCUUUGGCGGAUUUGGCAGAAAAUCCCGUGCGAAUCGGGAUUUAGCUCCCGAUCGGGAGUCCUGCACGGCUCCGACUAAAGGUUGAAGAAGACCGGCUGACAGGUGGGGUCACAGUGUCAGAGAGAAUAAAGAAUAGGGCCCAGUUGACAGAGGGGAGGUGCGGCUUGGAUGGCCGAGUGGGCCGCUGCGAUGCAAUGGGCCGGGGUGCGAUCGGAGCUGGGCGUUGGGCCUCGCGAAGAAAGGAAAAAGGGGGAGGGAAGCUGGGCCGCGCGCGCUGGUUAGGGAGUAGGCCGGAAGGGGGAGGAAAGGAGGAGUGGGCCUUCGGGCCAGAAUCAGGUGGGGAGAGUUUUGGUUUGUUUUUUUUUUUUUUUUUUUCCUUUUUCUUUUAUUCCAAAGCCAUUUGAAACUCUAUUUGAAUUUUGAGUUCAAAAACACUCAGCACAGUAAACAAAAUGCAGAAGCAUGAGUGCACAAAAUUGUCGCUACACUCUAUGAUAGAUUUUAUUUUGAUAAAAAUAUUAUUUCUCUAUUUUUCAUGAACACAAAAAUACAAAACUAAAUCAUUUUCCACCUAUUUCAAAAGUUUUAAAAUUUUGGGUGUU
rnacentral:lncRNA from 1 species